rnacentral:rRNA from 1 species
UACGUAGGGUGCAAGCGUUGUCCGGAAUUAUUGGGCGUAAAGGGCUCGUAGGCGGUCCAUCACGUCGGGAGUGAGAAGCUGGGGCUUAACCCCAGUCCUGCUUCCGAUACGGGUGGACUAGAGGUAGGCAGGGGAGAACGGAAUUCCUGGUGUAGCGGUGAAAUGCGCAGAUAUCAGGAGGAACACCGGUGGCGAAGGCGGCGACCUGGGUCGAUACUGACGCUGAGGCGCGAAAGCGUGGGGAGCAAACAGG